rnacentral:rRNA from 1 species
GAGUUUGAUCUUGGCUCAGAAUGAACGCUGGCGGCAGGCCUAACACAUGCAAGUCGAGCGGAGCAGCAAUGCUCAGCGGCGGACGGGGUGAGUAACGCGUGGGAACAUACCCUUUGGUACGGAAUAGCCUCGGGAAACUGGGAGUAAUACCGUAUGUGCCUUUCGAGGGAAAGAUUUAUCGCCAAAGGAUUGGCCCGCGUUGGAUUAGGUAGUUGGUGGGGUAAUGGCCUACCAAGCCGACGAUCCAUAGCUGGUUUGAGAGGAUGAUCAGCCACACUGGGACUGAGACACGGCCCAGACUCCUACGGGAGGCAGCAGUGGGGAAUCUUAGACAAUGGGCGCAAGCCUGAUCUAGCCAUGCCGCGUGAUCGAUGAAGGCCUUAGGGUUGUAAAGAUCUUUCGUGGGGGAAGAUAAUGACGGUACCCCAAGAAGAAGCCCCGGCUAACUCCGUGCCAGCCGCCGCCGUAAU